rnacentral:rRNA from 1 species
GAUGAACGCUAGCGGCAGGCCUAACACAUGCAAGUCGAGGGGCAGCACAGAAACAGCAAUGUUUUGGUGGCGACCGGCGGACGGGUGCGUAACGCGUAUGCAACCUACCUUUAACAGGGGGAUAACGGAGAGAAAUUUCCACUAAUACCCCAUAACAUCGAUCAAGGCAUCUUGAUUGGUUGAAAACUCCGGUGGAUAAAGAUGGGCAUGCGUUGUAUUAGGUAGUUGGUGAGGUAAUUGCUCACCAAGCCUACGAUACAUAGGGGGACUGAGAGGUUAGCCCCCCACACUGGUACUGAGACACGGACCAGACUCCUACGGGAGGCAGCAGUGAGGAAUAUUGGUCAAUGGGGGCAACCCUGAACCAGCCAUGCCGCGUGCAGGAAGACGGCUCUAUGAGUUGUAAACUGCUUUUAAACAGGGAUAAAGCACAGUAUGUAUACUGUGUUGAAGGUACUGUAAGAAUAAGGAUCGGCUAACUCCGUGCCAGCAGCCGCCGUAA